AGUGAACGCUGGCGGUAGGCCUAACACAUGCAAGUCGAACGGCAGCACAGAGGAGCUUGCUCCUUGGGUGGCGAGUGGCGGACGGGUGAGGAAUACAUCGGAAUCUACUCUGUCGUGGGGGAUAACGUAGGGAAACUUACGCUAAUACCGCAUACGACCUACCGGUGAAAGCAGGGGGCCUUCGGGCCUUGCGCGAUUGAAUGAGCCGAUGUCAGAUUAGCUAGUUGGCGGGGUAAAGGCCCACCAAGGCGACGAUCCGUAGCUGGUCUGAGAGGAUGAUCAGCCACACUGGAACUGAGACACGGUCCAGACUCCUACGGGAGGCAGCAGUGGGGAAUAUUGGACAAUGGGCGCAAGCCUGAUCCAGCCAUACCGCGUGGGUGAAGAAGGCCUUCGGGUUGUAAAGCCCUUUUGUUGGGAAAGAAAUCCAGCUGGCUAAUACCCGGUUGGGAUGACGGUACCCAAAGAAUAAGCACCGGCUAACUUCGUGCCAGCCGCCGCAGUAA
rnacentral:rRNA from 1 species